rnacentral:rRNA from 1 species
UACGUAGGGUGCGAGCGUUGUCCGGAAUUAUUGGGCGUAAAGGGCUCGUAGGCGGUUUGUCGCGUCGGGAGUGAAAACCAGGUGCUUAACACCUGGCUUGCUUUCGAUACGGGCAGACUAGAGGUAUUCAGGGGAGAACGGAAUUCCUGGUGUAGCGGUGAAAUGCGCAGAUAUCGGGAAGAACACCCGUGGCGAAGGCGGCUCUCUGGGACGGUACUGACGCUGAGACGCGAAAGCGUGGGGAGCGAACAGG